rnacentral:lncRNA from 1 species
CUUCUCCCGUUCUGUAGGUUGUCUUUUACUUUUGUGGACUGUUUCUUUUCCUGUGCAGGAGCUUUCAAUCUGGGUGAAGUCCCAAUACUUCAUUGUUGCUUUUGUUUCUCUUGCCCAUGCGGAUGUAUCUUGUGAGACGUUGCUCUGGCCAAGUUGAGAAUGGGNCUCCUUAAUUUUCGAGGCUCUUCUAACAGCAACCUGUCAACAGCUCUUUCUAUAUCCACUUAUUUCCCAGGAUCUACUGUGGAAACGCCAGAACGAGAACCGUGUAGACAACCUGGGGACACCCGCCCUGGAACGUGGGUGAAAAUACUUAAUUUAACAUCCCCUGUGGCACACACAGAAGUUGGAACCGUCCGUGGCAUCAUUAGAAGAUCUUGCCAAGGCUGUGGCGUCUGAGUUUGAAGAAUCCUUGAAAGACUCUCCACCCACUUCUAUGGGAAGCCUGCCCCAUUUUACCUGUAUUAGAAAUGUUGCUCUCUUGGUUUUCCUCUUUUUGAAGGGAAUGCACAUAUGGUAAGGAACAGUGUAUUUUUUUGGUGUAAGUACCAUCUUGGUGGGGUGUUGGGAGGGGAGGAUGUAAACUGUGCAGUAGGGGACAUUUGCUCAGAAGCACUUUUCCGCCUUGAAUUCUGAAUUUGGAAUUGCUGCUUCAGUCAACCUGGGAGAUCUAUCUCCCAGGAAAAGCUCAUGCUUUCUCCGUGGGUGCAAUCUGUGCUUCCUUUGGGGGCCUUUGACUUUACGACACUUGUUCAUUUGGUGUUCAGUACUCACCAGAGAAUCAAUGACAAAGUAUACACAUGAACUGACCCCCAUCUUCUCCUCUUUUGUGUAACUGCAGGUCGCCUCAGAAAGCAGCGAAACUGGUGUGUAUUCUGGAAUCAUCAGUCUCUUGCUUAGGAAAAACUCUAAAUAGUAAGGCAGAUGGGGCAACCUUGCUGUCCUCACACCCAGACACCCUUGCUGUCCAGGCACCCAGAUUCCAUGUUCCUAAGGCUUGGGAGUGUGUGAGAUAGGCAGCUUUCCCAGGUGAGAAAAGAGGUCCGUGUUUCUACAUUCCUAGGAAGCCAAUGUAUUCUCUGUGCGUGGAGUGGCUGUGAGUGCAACAGGCUUGGGGGAGGUGACUUGUUGACUCUAUGCAGUGUGUGAGAGAGAGACAGACCGAUAGUGAGAGAGAGAGGAUAGAGACAGUGACACAGAGAAAUACAGAGAAAGUGAGGAGGAGAAUGAGUGAGGUAGACUCCCCAGCAGAUAUGUCCCACCGACACCACAAGAUGGACUCAGUCGACAUUCUUAAAAAAUAACAAAAAA